UUAAUGGUGAAUACACCUAACUUUGCAUUCUUUGGAAAACCUGAACAGUGAGAAUGAGAACUCACACUGCCACCAUUGUCAUCCUGGAGCGA